GAGUGAUAUUAGACCUAUGUUGGGUUUAUUUAUAUAAAUCUAUACUCGACUGCUCUGUGUUUGUUUUUUGGAGGGGGGGGCAGUGAGUCAAAGCAGACGCUAUUGCCUCGCUAAAAAAGUAUAACCUUCUCUAGCGGAGGAAUCAGCUCUCAAACUACAAAACCCAGGGCAACUAACUGAACGUCGUGAAGGAUCUAGCUACGCAUGGUCGUUAUUUGAUACGUGGAACAUCGGACAGAGACUUGCUAGUAGCUACAUAGCUAACUAUAGCCAUGAAUCAGAUGCAGGACGGGUGGGAGAAAUUAAUAGGCGAAUAUCGCAGCCAAUCACAACACUGGCGCUUGGCCAUCUAGUGGGAAAGGGCGAGGCUAUACGGACACGCCUGCUGCCCAAAUGAAUGAAUGAUGUAUGUCGUGCAGCUGAAAGUCGUGGAGACCAUUGGAUUCGGGUUCAGUCAGGCGUCCUGAAGAGCCCUUCCCCACUUCCCAGCAAGCUAGUUUCUGCUCGCUAGCUGGUGUCGUGGAAAAUUGUCUUAAGAAUAACACUUCUUACAAGAACUUGUAAAUUCAAUAUAGACUUUAAUACAGAGUAAUAAAGCCGAGCCGGUCCGCGGACAUCAACUGCCUUCCUUAGGCCCCGGCUCUGCUUUUAUGCACAUACAAUACAUAGGUCCAUCCUUUAUGUAAAUGAAGUAAAACCCCCUAUGCGUUCUGCCACCUUUUUCUUUCAACCCAAUGGAUAACGCCCAUAUCUGCUUUUAGCUCUAACAUAGUAGUGGCUGGAUAACGCCCAUAUCUGCUUUUAGCUCUAACAUAGUAGUGGCUGGACUCUCCUCAUAAGGAUAUGAAAAUAAUGCAUGCAUUGCAUGCUUACGCUUGGCAUAUAUUUAGUCAUGGCCAUACAUUCAGCUUGCCUGGCCGUUGUGUGGUUCCUACUUGGGGAUGUAUGGCCACCUGUUAUCUCCACUCAGGGACAAUGCUAGCCCGCACCCCUCCGCCCUCCCAGAAUCCCUGUGUAGUGCCUCUUCUGGUAGCGCCUUACUGCUGGGUCUGAAGAGGGUGACUGUGCGGCUGGUCGACUGCAGGAAAACAACGGGGCUGAGUGGAACUACAAGACGAGGAGACAAGGAGGAAGAGGGAGAUUUGACUGAUCAAAGUAAAAGACUGCUGGGUCUGAAGAGGGUGUCUGUGCGGCUGGUCGACUGCAGGAAAACAACGGGGCUGAGUGGACCUAUGAGAGGAGGAGGAGAAGAAGAUGACGAGGGAGAUUUGACUGAUCAAAAUAAGUAGGAUGUUUAUGUAGGAGCAGAAUGUGUUUACUUUGGACUUCAACCUUCACAUUACUAAUAUGAAGAAGACGCAGAAGAAGCAGCUGCUAUCCUACUAGGAGCAUGAAACACGACUCAUCUCCUGGCGGCACACAACAUUUAAAAUAAAAUGUUUUUAUAAUAAAUAUUCUGCACUGGCAUUUGAACAAAAUACUAAUAUUCUGACCAUUAUGAGUAACUUCAUUGUGUAGUAGAUCUUAAAUAAUCCUUAAAUGUGAUUAGGAAGUGGAAUCUGGACCAGUGGUGAGAAUCCUCAUUCAACAUUAACAUGAUUAGGAAGUGGAAUCUGGACCAACAGAUCUUACAGGAAGUACAGGUCGUAAAAACAUUGUCUUGAGACGCCAUGACACGUCAAGACAUAAGAAAACUAUAUUUAGGGAAGUGUCUUCAAGACAUUUUCUAGGCUCUUCCCGACAGCUAAAGGGAUUCUCUACUUUACGCUCAGUCUCUGCUCUACUCAUUUGGCUAAUCAGAGAACAGGCUACUCUGGAAAGAAUUGUUAAAUCAAAGCUCAAUCGAUGUCCUCAAGAUCACAUAAUGAUAGGAUUCUACAUAACAGAACCGAAUAUAAACAGAACACACAGAGACUGUGUGUGUAAAGUAGAGAAUCCCGUACAUCCACAUGUGCAGAAGCUUCAGGACAUUUAGCUGUCGGGAAGAGGGGUCCGGAAAAGUCGGACCUGUAGCCACUCCGUUUUUUAUAUUAGUGGUUUGAGAGAUGCCAUGAAAUGUUUUAAGACAUACAUUUUGAAGACAUGUCUUGAGACAUAAUGGCAUCUUAAGAUGUCUUUAAAAAAGUAUAUGUCUUGAAGUGUCUCAAGAUGUCUCAACUUGUGACGGCUGGGUAUGUAGGUUUCUAAACGAUCAGGAACACAUUUUCGCAGUCUUCACUUUGGACUUCCAUAGUCCGAUUGUGUUAGAAAACCAUUUUUGGUGAAAGGUGGUAAUAAAGGGAACAAAGACGGUGUGAUGAACGUUUACAUUUUACAUUUACGUCAUUUAGCAGACGCUCUUAUCCAGAGCGACUUACAACAUAUCUUCUGUCGUUGGCUUUUAUCCUUUUAUGGAAAUAGGGAGAAUGUGCAUUUUAUAGCUAAUAAAAGUGUUGAACAAAUUGUUGCUAGUUCUGAGUAACUUAAACAUCAGCUCUUUGUUGUAUUCGUUGAGUCUUUCUCUAGUCAUGUUUUUCAAAGUUUUGAAAUCUCACAAUAUCCAAUUGGCUGUGCGUUCGAGGUUUCUUUUUACAGUCUAUGGCUCGUGGGAACUGCAGACACAGUGAUCUGAGCUAUCUGAUUGGCCAGUGGUAGGCCUAUAGGUGCACUUGAUUUGCUCUCUGGGCCUGUCAGGUAGGCGUAGUUCUACCUUCAAACACAUUAAAUGGUUAAAAUGGGAACACGUUGCCUUCCCGGUGCUAGGGCUGUUGAAUUUGGGUGCACAUACAACCAACAGCGCGCAACGAAUAAAAAAUAAAUGGGAACAGGUUUUAUCUUAGUUUUUUUUACAGAAAUGUUUAGUGAUCAACUAGGAAUGCCUUUGAGGUCGACCAGUCGGUGACCACUGUAGUAAGAUGUUCUCUCAAUUGGCAAG
rnacentral:lncRNA from 1 species